rnacentral:rRNA from 1 species
GUGGGGAAUCUUGCGCAAUGGGCGAAAGCCUGACGCAGCCAUGCCGCGUGAAUGAUGAAGGUCUUAGGAUUGUAAAAUUCUUUCACCGGGGACGAUAAUGACGGUACCCGGAGAAGAAGCUCCGGCUAACUUCGUGCCAGCAGCCGCGGUAAUACGAAGGGGGCUAGCGUUGCUCGGAAUUACUGGGCGUAAAGGGCGCGUAGGCGGACAGCGUAGUCAGAGGUGAAAGCCCAGGGCUCAACCUUGGAAUUGCCUUGGAUACUGGCUGGCUUGAGUUUGGGAGAGGUGAGUGGAACUCCGAGUGUAGAGGUGAAAUUCGUAGAUAUUCGGAAGAACACCAGUGGCGAAGGCGACUCACUGGCCCAAUACUGACGCUGAGGCGCGAAAGCGUGGGGAGCAAACAGGAUUAGAUACCCGGGUAGUCC